GGGUGGGGCUCGGGGCCACGGAAGCUUUUCUGGAAAGCCCCUCUCCUUCCUCUACUGUCUCACGACUGAUGGGAGCAGAUGGCCCUGGAGAAUUCUCCCCAGGCUAAUUCCCCUCCCAGAGCAAUGAGACCCUGUUUUCACUGGCCAGCCUCCACCCACCAUUCUCCUCGUCCUGGUCACUCUGCUCCCUUUGGAUGAGCAACAGCUCUUGCUCUAUACCCACCUGGCUCCUCACUGGCCUGUGACCUCAUACAGGUCAAUGGACAUCAGUCUUGGGGUGGGAAGGAUGGAAGCUGCCUCUAGCUGGCCUGGAGGAGAGGGAGCUGGGGGAGGAAGACAGGCCUGACUUCUGACACGAAUUGUACCAGGAACCCUCUGUGCCAACUUGGUCAACUUCCUCAGCAGAACCUCCCAGGAAUUGCUUUUAAAAAUCAGACAUCUCUGAUCCCAUCUCUUCCAUCCAGGGAGGUUCACCCUCCCCCAGGAAGUGUCCGAGCGUUCAGGGACCUCUGUUGCCCAGUGCGGACGCCUGAUCUCGACCGCUUUCGGGGGAGCGGCGCCCAAGACCCGGCCACCCUGACUCGCCACUUUGCGGAGUGCCUCCCCCACGCGCGCUCGCGGCCGGCGUCCC
ensembl:lncRNA